GAUGAACGCUGGCGGCGUGCCUAAUACAUGCAAGUCGAGCGAACGGACGAGAAGCUUGCUUUUCUGAUGUUAGCGGCGGACGGGUGAGUAACACGUGGAUAACCUACCUAUAAGACUGGGAUAACUUCGGGAAACCGGAGCUAAUACCGGAUAAUAUUUUGAACCGCAUGGUUCAAAAGUGAAAGACGGUCUUGCUGUCACUUAUAGAUGGAUCCGCGCUGCAUUAGCUAGUUGGUAAGGUAACGGCUUACCAAGGCAACGAUGCAUAGCCGACCUGAGAGGGUGAUCGGCCACACUGGAACUGAGACACGGUCCAGACUCUACGGGAGGCAGCAGCAGGGAAUCUUCCGCAAUGGGCGAAAGCCUGACGGAGCAACGCCGCGUGAGUGAUGAAGGUCUUCGGAUCGUAAAACUCUGUUAUUAGGGAAGAACAUAUGUGUAAGUAACUGUGCACAUCUUGACGGUACCUAAUCAGAAAGCCACGGCUAACUACGUG
rnacentral:rRNA from 1 species